AUGCUUGGGAAUAUGCCUUAUGGUGGGGGACAACAGUUGGAAACGACUGCUAAUACCGCAUGAUGUCUACGGACCAAAGUGGGGGACCUUCGGGCCUCACGCCAUAAGAUUAGCCCAAGUGGGAUUAGCUAGUUGGUGAGGUAAUGGCUCACCAAGGCGACGAUCCCUAGCUGGUUUGAGAGGAUGAUCAGCCACACUGGGACUGAGACACGGCCCAGACUCCUACGGGAGGCAGCAGUGGGGAAUAUUGCACAAUGGGCGCAAGCCUGAUGCAGCCAUGCCGCGUGUGUGAAGAAGGCCUUCGGGUUGUAAAGCACUUUCAGUAAGGAGGAAAGGUUAAGUGUUAAUAGCACUUAGCUGUGACGUUACUUACAGAAGAAGCACCGGCUAACUCCGUGCCAGCAGCCGCGGUAAUACGGAGGGUGCGAGCGUUAAUCGGAAUUACUGGGCGUAAAGCGUACGCAGGCGGUUUGUUAAGCGAGAUGUGAAAGCCCCGGGCUCAACCUGGGAACUGCAUUUCGAACUGGCAAACUAGAGUGUGAUAGAGGGUGGUAGAAUUUCAGGUGUAGCGGUGAAAUGCGUAGAGAUCUGAAGGAAUACCGAUGGCGAAGGCAGCCACCUGGGUCAACACUGACGCUCAUGUACGAAAGCGUGGGGAGCAAACAGGAUUAGAUACCCUGGUAGUCCACGCCGUAAACGAUGUCUACUAGAAGCUCGGGUCUUCGGACUUGUUUUUUCAAAGCUAACGCAUUAAGUAGACCGCCUGGGGGAGUACGGCCCGCAAGGUUAAAACUCAAAUGAAAUUGACGGGGGGCCCGCACAAGCGGUGGAGCAUGUUGGUUUAAUUCGAUGCAACGCGAAGAACCUUACCUACACUUUGACAUACAGGAGAACUUACCAGAAAAUGGUUUGGGUGCCCUUCGGGAACUCUGAUACAGGGUGCUGCAUGGCUGUUCGUCAGCC
rnacentral:rRNA from 1 species